UAAGAGUCACUUGAACAGACUGCUAGGGAAGGAAGUCAUCAGGAGGAAAUCUGGACAUAGUUAGGAAAUGUGGAAGCAGUAAGAAGAUGCUGCUGGCGGAGCCUUGUCCUCACAAAGGACUUUGAUCGUCUCCAUAUCAGAAAUGCAGUGUGUGUGUGUGUGUGUGUGUGUUUAUGUAUUUAUCUACAUUCUUAGGUCAAUCGAACUUCAGAUGUGCAGAAAGAGUGCUCCGUUUGGAAGAAGUUCAACCUGACUUCUGAAUUCUGAGAUCACACUGCACAGCGACUUUAAUCUUUUUCACUGAUUGUGGAUGGACGUAUUCAGAGCCAAGUAAUUGAAGCGAGUUUAGCUAUCUGCACUUCUCAGAGGAAACAUUCCUCUACAGGCAUUAGAAACUGUGAAUACAUUAUUACUAUAUAUUGCAAAGGAGAAUGAAGGUUGCAGAUGGAAUCAAGUUUUCAAAUGAACUGACUUUAAGAUAAGGAGAUUAUCCUGGAUUACCUUGAUACAUCCACUGUGAUCACAAGUGUUCUUAAAAGUGGAGAGGCAGGCGUGAGAGGUCUGAGUGAAGUGAUGUCAGGAACACCCAGUGCAUCAUCACAGGCUGUGAAGACGGAGGAAAUGGUCACAGUCCAAGGAAGGUGGACAGACUGUGUAGAAAAUCAGACACAAGCAAACAGAUUUUCCCCAGAGCCUCCGGAAACACAUGCACUGUCUCCUGUCCUAGAAGGACCCAUUUCAAAUGCAUUUGUGGUGCUAUAAGCCAUUAGGCUGUGGUGAUUUGGGACAGUAGUGAAGGAAACUAAUACAUGAGUUAUCUUCUUCAUGGAAGAAAAUCUCCAUGUUGUGAUAAAUCUGUGCUUCGCUCCAGUCUUUACCCAUUGAACUGUUUAUCUAACUGUGCAUCUAUGUACUUAACAACAUUAUUUGUAAUA